rnacentral:rRNA from 1 species
UGGGGAAUAUUGGGGCAAUGGGGCGCAAGCCUGACCCAGCAACGCCGCGUGAAGGAAGAAGGCCUUCGGGUUGUAAACUUUUGUUGUAGAGGACGAAGAAAGUGACUGUACUCUACGAGGAAGCCCCGGCUAACUAUGUGCCAGCAGCCGCGGUAAUACAUAGGGGGCAAGCGUUGUCCGGAAUCACUGGGCGUAAAGGGAGCGUAGGCGGAUGUUUAAGUUAAGUGUGAAAGCCUGGGGCUUAACUCCAGAAAUGCACUUAAUACUGGAUAUCUAGAGUGUGGGAGAGGUAAGUGGAAUUCCUAGUGUAGCGGUAAAAUGCGUAGAUAUUACUCAGAACACCGAUUGCGAAGGCAUCUCACGAAUCCGCCAUUGACGCUGAGGCACGAAAGACGUGGGGAUCAAACAGGAUUAGAUACCCUGGUAGU